rnacentral:rRNA from 1 species
GUAAGGAAUAUUGGACAAUGGACGCAAGUCUGAUCCAGCCAUGCCGCGUGAAGGAUUAAGGUCCUCUGGAUUGUAAACUUCUUUUAUAAGGGACGAAAAAAGGCUUUUCUAAGUCGUCUGACGGUACCUUAUGAAUAAGCACCGGCUAACUCCGUGCCAGCAGCCGCGGUAAUACGGAGGGUGCAAGCGUUAUCCGGAUUCACUGGGUUUAAAGGGUGCGUAGGUGGGCAGGUAAGUCAGUGGUGAAAUCCUAGAGCUUAACUCUAGAACUGCCAUUGAUACUAUCUGUCUUGAAUAUUGUGGAGGUAAGCGGAAUAUGUCAUGUAGCGGUGAAAUGCUUAGAUAUGACAUAGAACACCUAUUGCGAAGGCAGCUUACUACGCAUAUAUUGACGCUGAGGCACGAAAGCGUGGGGAUCAAACAGGAUUAGAUACCCCUGUAGUCC